CGGUCUCUGCGACGCAGCUAACGCAUUAAGUGCCCCGCCUGGGGAGUACGAUCGCAAGAUUAAAACUCAAAGGAAUUGACGGGGCCCCGCACAAGCAGCGGAGCAUGCGGCUUAAUUCGACGCAACGCGAAGAACCUUACCAAGGCUUGACAUAUACAGGAAUAUGGCAGAGAUGUCAUAGCCGCAAGGUCUGUAUACAGGUGGUGCAUGGUUGUCGUCAGCUCGUGUCGUGAGAUGUUGGGUUAAGUCCCGCAACGAGCGCAACCCUCGUUCUGUGUUGCCAGCAUUUAGUUGGGGACUCACAGGAGACUGCCGGGGUUAACUCGGAGGAAGGUGGGGAUGACGUCAAAUCAUCAUGCCCCUUAUGUCUUGGGCUGCACGCAUGCUACAAUGGCUGGUACAAACGGCUGCGAUACCGCAAGGUGGAGCGAAUCCGAUAAAGCCAGUCUCAGUUCGGAUUGGGGUCUGCAACUCGACCCCAUGAAGUCGGAGUUGCUAGUAAUCGUAGAUCAGCAACGCUACGGUGAAUACGUUCCCGGGGCUUGUACACACCGCCCGUCACGUCACGAAAGUCGGUAACACCCGAAGUCAGUGGCCCAACCGCAAGGAGGGAGCUG
rnacentral:rRNA from 1 species